rnacentral:rRNA from 1 species
AGGAAGCACCGGCUAACUCCGUGCCAGCAGCCGCGGUAAUACGGGGGGUGCGAGCGUUGUUCGGAAUUAUUGGGCGUAAAGAGCGUGUAGGCUGCCUGAUGUGUCAGAUGUGAAAGCCCUGGGCUUAACCCAGGAAGUGCAUUUGAAACUGUCGGGCUUGAGUAGGGGAGGGGGAAGUGGAAUUCCUGGUGUAGAGGUGAAAUUCGUAGAUAUCAGGAGGAACACCGGUGGCGAAGGCGACUUCCUGGCCCUAUACUGACGCUGAGACGCGAGAGCGUGGGUAGCAAACAGGAUUAGAUACCCUGGUAGUCCACGCUGUAAACGAUGUUCACUAGGUGUUGGGGGUAUUGACCCCCUCAGUGCCGGAGCUAACGCG